AGAGUUUGAUCAUGGCUCAGGAUGAACGCUGGCGGCGUGCCUAAUACAUGCAAGUCGAACGAGGAGCCUUUGUAUUCGUACGAGGGUUUCCUAGUGGCGAACGGGUGAGUAACGCGUUGGUGACCUGCCCCGAAGUGAGGGAUAACAGUUCGAAAGGGCUGCUAAUACUUCAUGUGGUCGCGUUGGUUAGAGUCUAUGCGACUAAAGGAGCAAUCCGCUUUGGGAGGGACCUGCGUCCCAUCAGCUAGUUGGUAGGGUAAUGGCCUACCAAGGCGACGACGGGUAGGGGGCCUGAGAGGGUGGCCCCCCACACUGGCACUGAAACACGGGCCAGACACCUACGGGUGGCAGCAGUAGGGAAUAUUGCACAAUGGGCGAAAGCCUGAUGCAGCAACGCCGCGUGCGCGAUGAAGGCCUUCGGGUUGUAAAGCGCUUUUCUGGAGGAAGAGGAAGGACG
rnacentral:rRNA from 1 species